AAAUUGAAGAGUUUGAUCAUGGCUCAGAUUGAACGCUGGCGGCAGGCCUAACACAUGCAAGUCGAACGGUAACAGGAAGCAGCUUGCUGUUUCGCUGACGAGUGGCGGACGGGUGAGUAAUG
rnacentral:rRNA from 1 species